rnacentral:rRNA from 1 species
UCCUACGGGAGGCAGCAGUGGGGAAUAUUGCACAAUGGGCGGAAGCCUGAUGCAGCAACGCCGCGUGCGGGAUGACGGCCUUCGGGUUGUAAACCGCUUUCGCCUGUGACGAAGCGUGAGUGACGGUAAUGGGUAAAGAAGCACCGGCUAACUACGUGCCAGCAGCCGCGGUGAUACGUAGGGUGCGAGCGUUGUCCGGAUUUAUUGGGCGUAAAGGGCUCGUAGGUGGUUGAUCGCGUC